GGGACGCGGCGGAGCGGGACUUCGGGCUGGGACCUGCAAGCAAAAGAAUCGGCUGCACUGCAGACUUCCUCCACCAUGCCCCAGCUCAUCACCCUGAAGUCUUGCUGCAGCCCUGUAUUUCACGCAGUGGAAGUACCCUCUGCCCCUGCAACUGCUGCUUCUGAUUGCAUGGUUCCUCCCAGGACCUCCAUUUAAGAAGGGCCUCCCGGCCAGCCAUACCUCAUUCUGCUACAGGCUGGACUCUGGAUUGUAUCAUUCCCCUGUGACUGCCUUUGUCUGUCCCUCCUUCCCCAAAUUCCCCAUCCCCCCACUUUUCAGCAGUCAGUGCUUGGCAUGUAACAAGGGUUUAAUAAAUACUUCUUAUCAUUGA